rnacentral:lncRNA from 1 species
UGUUCACAACAUAUCCGAAGGUGAUCAUCAGGCCCUCCACCGCAAAACAAGCAGACUAUGAGCCUCAAAUUUAUGGAUUAUGAAUGCUUCACUGAAGUUCUAUUCAAUAGGGAUAAGUUCAUCAAUGCAGAUUGUUCAACUAAUUUUUCUUGAGGACUUUUUGGUACACCAAAUUUUUGGCCCCGAGUCUAAGUGUAUGGCAGAUUCACCGCAUAAUCUUUAUGACAAAUGAUAUGCUCAUCAUUUAUUAAUUGAUUAUUGAAGGACACACCCAGGGCCCACGGCACUUGCGCUCCUGGCAAGUCCUCUGGAACCAAACAAUUUAGUAAAAGUUAGCAGCUUACUCUGUCUUGCACAUGGAAAGUUUCUCGGUUUCUGUUGCGUGAAGAUGAUUUAGAUAGUUUAACGAUCAAUGGGCAUAAACAGAGUAUGGUGCCGUGCAGUAUAUUAUGACACGACAACACCCAUUUACGAAGUAGAAAGAUACUAUAUACGUGCAGGUCCUGGUCGGCCAAGUUGCCGCUUCAACAUUCCUACCAGGUUUAUUAAUACCUCAAGGAUAUAGGCAAUUACUAACUUGCAUGGAUAAAGAAUUUGAUGCCCACGAAUGUCUUAUCUGCUCAUUUGCUUAGUCGUGAUAGAAGCAAUAGGUUCAGAUGAGGACUAUAAGCGGAAGCUAGACAUACCUGAUUUUUCUGCAUUUCCAUAAAUUCAGCCUGUA